rnacentral:rRNA from 1 species
GACGAACGCUGGCGGCGUGCUUAACACAUGCAAGUCGAACGGAAAGGCCCUGCUUUUGUGGGGGGCUCGAGUGGCGAACGGGUGAGUAACACGUGAGUAACCUGCCCUUGACUUGGGGAUAACUUCAGGAAACUGGGGCUAAUACCGGAUAGGAGCGCGUGCUGCAGGGGGGGGGUUGGAAAGUUUCGGCGGUUGGGGAUGGACGCGCGGCUUAUCAGCUUGUGGGGGGGGUAGUGGCUUACCAAGGCUUUGACGGGUAGCCGGCCUGAGAGGGUGACCGGCCACAUUGGGACUGAGAUACGGACCAGACUCCUACGGGAGGCAGCAGUGGGGAAUAUUGCACAAUGGGCGGAAGCCUGAUGCAGCAACGCCGCGUGCGGGAUGACGGCCUUCGGGUUGUAAACCGCUUUCGCCUGUGACGAAGCGUGAGUGACGGUAAUGGGUAAAGAAGCACCGGCUAACUACGUG